rnacentral:rRNA from 1 species
AUGAACGCUGGCGGCGUGCUUAACACAUGCAAGUCGAACGAUUAAAGCUCACUUCGGUGAGUGUAUAGAGUGGCGAACGGGUGAGUAACACGUGGGAAACCUGCCCCUUUCUUCGGGAUAACUUCGGGAAACCGUUGCUAAUACCGGAUACUCCGGGAUGGUCGCAUGGCCGACCCGGGAAAGCUUUAUGUGGAAAGGGAUGGUCCCGCGGCCCAUUAGCUUGUUGGUGGGGUAACGGCCUACCAAGGCGAUGAUGGGUAGCCG